UUCUCUAAACCGUCUCCUGCAAAUAGAUGAUCUCAAGUUUUAAUCUACUCAUAUGUCUUCUAAUUACCUGUCUUUUAUAUGAUCAAUUAUUUUCCUAACACCUUGUUUGCUUUUCUUUUUUAUUAUUUGCUCUUCAUUCCUUACCUUUUCUCUCAUUUUACUCUAAAUCACUUUAAAUAACUUCAUCGCCUUAUCAUCGAAGCCCUCUAAACCUUAUAUUGUAGUCUCCUGCAAACAAAUGAUAUCAUUUUUUAAUCUGCUCAUACAUUCUCUAAUAUCUUGUCUUUUUUUUAUGAUCAUUUAUUCUCCUAACAUUUCAGAAUAUGAUGUGCCCCAACGUUGAUUAAUUAUUGUCCAAUAUCCCCUCAUUUUUCUUUCCACCUUUGCAGUUUCCUAGAUCCUUCACACCUUAUUUGCUUUUUUUUUUGUUUUUUGCUCCUCAUUCCUUAACUUUUUUCGGCUUCUACUCUAAAUAUCCUUAAACAACUCCAUUGCCUUAUCCUCAAAACACUCUGAGCUCUUUAUUUUAGUUUACUGCAAACAUAUGAUCUCUAAUUUUAAUGCUCAUACAUUCUCUAAUUACCUGUCUUUUUCUAUGAUCAUUUAUUCUUCUAACAUUUCAGGAUACGAUGAGCCCCAACAUUGAUUGAUUGUCCAAUGUCAUCGUUCUUUUCAUUCCACCAUGCCCUGGGAUACUAUGUGCCCCAACAUUGAUUAAUUUUCAUCCAAAUUCUUCUUCCUUUUCUUUCCACCAUGUCUUUUAAUAUAAUUGAUACUGAACUAUAGCAUUUGCAGUUCCCUAGAUCCCUUAACACCUUGUUUGGUUUUAUUUUAAUUUUUUUUUUUGCUCCUCAGACCUUACCUAUUCUUUCCUACUUUAAAUCUCUUUAAAAAAUUCCAUUACCUUGUGCUUACUUGACCCUUCAUUUUAGUUUCGUGCAAACAGAUCAUCUCUAGUUUUAAUCUGCUCAUAUAUCAUCUAAUUACAUGCCCUUUUCUAUGAUCAUUCAUUCUCCUAACAUUUUAGGAUAUGAUGCGCCUCAAUAUUUAUUAUUUAUCUUCCAAUAUCCCCUCUCUUUUCUUUCCACCAUGCCUCGGGUUACCAUAGUUGAUAUUGAAUAGCCGUUGUAGUUCCUUAGAUCCCUUUAUACCUUGUUUGCUUUUCUUUUUUUUAUGCUCCUCAUUCCUUACCUUUUCUCACCUACUUUAAAUCUCUUUACACAACUCCAUUGCCUUAUCCUCUAAAUCUUUUAAUCUCUCUUUUGUUUUUUGCUCCUCAUUUCCUACAUUUUCUCUUAUUUUAUUCUAGAUCUCUUUAAACAACUCCAUUGCCUUAUCUUCUAAACCCUUUCAUCUCUUUUUUAUUUUUUGCUCGUCAUUUCUUACCCUUUCUCUCCUUCUACUAUAAAUCUCUUUUAACAACUCCAUUUUCUUAUCCUCUAAACCAUCUAAGUCCUCUAUUUUAGUCUACUGCAAGCAAAUGAUUUUUGGUUUUAAUUUGCUCAAACAUCUUCUAAUUGCCUGUUUUUUUCUUUGGUCAUUUGUUCUCCUAACAUUACAGGAUACGAUGUGCCCCAACAUUUAUUAAUUGUUAUCCAAUAUCUCCUCCUUUUUCUUUUCACCAUGCCUUAGGUUACCAUUUUUAAUGCUAAACUAAAGCCUUUACAGUUCCCUAGAUCCCUUCAUACCUUGUUUGCUUUUCUUUUUUGUUUUUUACUCCUCAUUUUGUACCUUUUCUCUCAUACUCUAUAUCUCUUUAGACAAUUUCCUUGCCUUAUCCUCUAAACCUUUUAAUAUCUUUUUUUUUAAACUUCUCAUUCAUUUCCUUUUAUGUCCUACUUUAAAUCUCUUUAAACAACUUUACUGUCUUAUCCUCUAAACUCUUUAAUCUCUUUUUUGUUUUCCCCCCUUAUUCCGUACAUUUUUUUUUUUACUCUAAAUCUCUUUAAACAACUCCAUUACCUUAUGAACCAUCUAAACCUUCUAUUUUAGUCUACUACAAACAAAUGAUUUCUGGUUUUAAUAUGCUCAUACAUCUUCUAAUUACUUGUCUUUUUCGAUGAUCAUUUAUUCUCCUAACAUUUCAGGUUAUGAUGUACCCCAACAUUGAUUAAUUGUCAUCCGAUAUCCGAUUUCCCCUUCCUUUUCUUUUCACCAUGCCCUAGGUUACCAUAAUACUAAACUACAUCCUUUUUUCUCCUUCUAUUCUAAAUCUCUUUUAAUAAUUCCUUUGCAUUUUCAUCUAAACCCCUUAAACCUCCCCAUUUUAGUCUCCUGCAAAUAGAUGAUCUCUAGUUUUAAUCUGCUUGUACGUCCUCUAAUUACAUACCUUUUCUUUAUGAUCAUUCAUUCUCCUAACAUUUCAGGAUUUGUUGCGCCUGAAUAUUGAUUAAUUAUCUUUCAAUAUCUUCUCUCUUUUCUUUCCAUCGUGCCUUGGUUUACCAUAGUUGAUACUGAACUGUAGCCUUUGUAAAUCCCUAGAUCCGUUUAUAUCUUGUUUGCUUUUCUUUUUUGUUUUUGCUCCUCAUUCCUUACUUUUUUUCUCCUUCUACUCUGAAUUUCUUUAAACAAUUCGAUUGUCUUAUCCUCUAAACGCUUAAUCUCUUUUUUGUUUUUUGCCGCUCAUUCCUUACCCUUUCUCUCCUUUUGCUUUAAAUCUCUUUAAAUAAGUCCAUUGCCUUAUCCUCCAAACUUUUAAUUUCUUUUUUGUUUUUUGCUCCUCAUUCCUUACCUUUUCUCUCUUUCUANNNNNNNNNNNNNNNNNNNNNNNNNNNNNNNNNNNNNNNNNNNNNNNNNNNNNNNNNNNNNNNNNNNNNNNNNNNNNNNNNNNNNNNNNNNNNNNNNNNNNNNNNNNNNNNNNNNNNNNNNNNNNNNNNNNNNNNNNNNNNNNNNNNNNNNNUUCCAUUUUAUUCUCUUACAAGCAUAUGAUCUCUAAUUUUAAUCAGUUGAUACAUCUUCUAAUUACAUGUCUUUUUCUAUGAUCAUUUAUUCACCUUAAAUUUUAGGAUAUAAUGAGUUCCAACAUUGGUUUGUUGCCCUCCUUUUUAUUUCCACCAUGCCUCGGGUUACCAUAGUUGAUACUGAACUACAACCUUUGUAGUUUCCUAGAUCCCUUAAUACGAUGUUUUCUUUUCUUUUUUGUUUUUUGCUUCUCAUUCGUUACCUUUUCUCUCCAUCUACUCUAAAUCUCUUUAAUCAACUCUAUUGUCUUAUCCUCUAAACUCUUUAAUCUCUUUUUUAUUUUUUGCUUUUCAUUUCUUUCCUUUUCUCUCCUUCUACUCUAAAUCUUUUUAAAUGACUCUAUUACCUUAUCCUCUAAACUGUAAGUCCUUUAUUUUAGUCUAUUACAAGCAAAUAAUUUUUGAUUUUAAUAUGCUCAUACAUCCUCUAAGUACUUGUCUUUUUCUAUGAUCAUUUAUUCUCUUAACAUUUCAGGAUACGAUGUGCUCCAAUAUUAAUUAAUUAUCAUUCAAUUUCCUGUCUCUUUUCUUUCCACCAUGCCUCGAGCUAUCAUAGUUGAUAUUGAACUACAGCCUUUGUAGUUACCUAGAUCCCUUUAUACCUUGUUUGCUUUUCUUCUUUGCUUUUUGUUCCUCAUUUCUUGCCUUUUAGCUCCUUCUACUCUAAAUCUCUUUAAACAAUUCCAUUGCCUUAUCCUCUAAACUCUCUAAACCCCCCAUCUUAGUCUCUUACAAAUAGAUGGUUUGUGUUUUUAAUUUGCUUAUACAUCCUCUAAUUAAAUAUCUUUUUCUAUGAUCAUUCAUUCUCCCAACUUUUUAGGAUCUGAUGCACCUCAACAUUGAUUAAUUGUCUUUCAAUAUCCCCUCUCUUUUCCUUUCACCAUGCUUCGAGUUACAAUAGUUGAUGCUGAACUACAGCUUUUGCAGUUUCCUAGAUUCCUUUAUACCUUAUUUGCUUUUCCUUUCUGUUUUUUGUCCUCAUUCAUUACCUUUUCUCUCAUUCUACUGUAAAUCUAUAUAAACAACUCCAUUGCCUUAUCCUUUAAACCCUUGAAUCUCUUUUUUUUUUUUUUGCUUCUCAUUCAUUACCUUUUCCUCUUAUUCUACUCUAAAUCUCUUUAAACAAUUCUAUUGAGUUAUCCUCUAAACUCUUUAAUGUCUUUUUUGUUUUUUUGCUGCUCACGUGUUACCUUUUCUCUCAUUCGACUAUAAAUCUCUUUAAACAACUCUAUUACUUUAUCGUCUAAGCAAUCUAAACCCUCUAUUUUAGUCUACUGCCAACAAAUAAUCUUUGUUUUUAAUAUGUUUAUACAUCAUCUAAUUACAUGUCUUUUUCUAUGAUCAUUUAUUCUCAUAAUAUUUCAAGAUACGAUGUGCCCCCAUUUUAGUUUCUUGCAAACAGAUGAUCUUUAGUUUUAAUAUGCUCUUACAUUCUCUAAUUAAAUGUCUUUUUCAAUGAUCAUUCAUUCUCCAAACAUUUCAUGAUUUGAUGUGCCUCAACAUAGAUUAAUUAUCUUCCAAUAUCCCCUCUCUUUUCCUUCCACCAUGCCUCGAGUUAUAAUAGUUGAUACUGAACUACAGCCUGUGCAGUUUCCUAGAUCCCUUUAUACAUUGUUUGCUUUUUUUUUGUUUUUUGGUCCUCAUUCCUUAUCUUUUCUCUCCUUCUACUCUAAAUUUCUAUAAACAACUCUGUUGUCUUAUCCUCUAAACCCUUUAAUUUUUUUGUUUUUGUUUUUUGUUUCUCAUUCCUUUCCUUUUCUCUCAUUCUACUCUAAAUUUCUCUAAACAAUUCUAUUGAGUUAUCCUCUAAACGCUUUAACCUCUUUUUUGUUUUUUACUCCUCAUGCAUUGCCUUUUCUGUCCUAAUAUAAAUCUGUUUAAACAACUCCAUUGCCUAAUCGACUAAACAGUCUAAACCCUAUAUUUUAGUCUACUUCAAACAAAUAAUCUUUGUUUCUAAUAUGUUCAUACAUUUUAGGAUCAUUUAUUUUCUCUCCUAAUCCCAUUACGUGUCUUUUUCUAUGAUCAUCUAUUUUCCUAACCUUUUAAGAUACAAUGUGCUCCCACUUUAGUCUUUUGCAAACAGAUGAUCUCUAGCCUGUUCUUACAUCCUCUAAUUAAAUGUCUUUUUCUAUGAUCAUUCUUUCUCCUAACUUUUCAGAAUAUGAUGUGCCUCAUUCCUUAUAUUUUCUCUGAUUCUACUCUAAAUCUCUUUAAACAACUCCAUUGAGUUAUCCUUUAAACCCUUUAAUCUAUUUUUUAUUUUUUGCUUCUCAUUCCUUACCUUUUCUCUUCUUAUUCUAUGAUCAUUUUCUCCUAACAGACUAAACCUUCUAUUUUAGUUUACUACAAACAAAUGAUCUCUGUUUUUAAUUUGUUCAUACAUAAUCUAAUUACAUGUCAUUUUCUAUGAUAAUUUAUUCUUCGAACAUUUCAGGAUACGAUAUGCCCCCAUUUUAAUCUCUUGCAAACAGAUGAUCGCUGGUUUUAAUACGCUCUUAUAUCCUCUAAUUAAAUGUCUUUUUCUAUGAUCAUUCAUUGUCUUAACUUUUCAGGGUAUGAUGCGCUUCAACAUUGAUUAAUUGUCUUUCAAUAUCCUCGCUCUUUUCUUUAUACCAUGCCUCAGAUUUACCAUAGCUGAUACUAAACUACAACCUUUGCAGUUCCCUAGAUCCAUUUAUAUCUUGUUUUCUUUUCCAUUUUGUUUUUUGUUCCUUAUUCCUUGCCUUUUCUCUCAUUCUCCUCUAAAUCUCUUUAAACAACUUCGUUGUCUUAUUCUCUAAAUCCUUUAAUUUCUUUUUUGUUUUUUACUCCUCAUUUUUUUCUUUUUCUCUCAUUCUAGUCUAAAUCUCUUUAAAUAAUUCCGUUAUCUUAUCCUCUAAACCCUCUCAUCUCUUUUUCGGUUUUUGCUCCUCAUUCCUUACUUUUUCUCUCUUUCUACUCUAAAUCUCUUUAAACAACUUCAUUGCCUUAUCCUCUAAACAGUCUAAGCUCUCUAUUUUAGUAUCCUGUAAACAAAUGAUCUCAUGUUUUCAUCUGUUCUAAUUACCAGUCUUAUUCUAUAAUCAUUUAUUCUCCUAACAUUUCAGGAUAUUAUGUGCUCAUAUUUUGUCUCCUGCAAAUAGAUGAUCUCCGUUUUUACUAUGUUCAUGCAUCCUCUAAUUAAAUAUUUUUUUCAAUGAUCAUUUAUUUUCCUAACUUUUUAGGAUAUGGUAUGCCUCAACAUUGAUUAAUUGUCUUCCAUAGUUGAUACUGAACUACAUCUUUUGCAUUUUGUUUUUUGCUCUUCAUUCCUUACCUUUUCUCUCAUUCUGCGUUAAAUCUCUUUAAACAACUCUAAUGACUUAUCCUCUAAACUUUUUAUGCUCUUUUUUGUUUUUUUCUCAUCAUUCCUUAUUUUUUCUCUCAUUUUACUCCAUAUCUUUUUAAACAACUUUAUUGCCUUGACCUAAUCCUUUAAUCUCUUUUUUGUUUUUGGUCCUCAUUCCUUACAUUUUCUCUCCUACUCUAAAUCUCUUUAAACAACUCCAUUGCCUUAUCCUCUAAACCCUUUACUUUUUUUGUUUCUUGAUCCUCAUUCCUUACUUUUUCUCUUAUUUUACUCAAAAUCUUUUUAAACAACUCCAUUGCCUUGUCCUCUAAAUUCUUUUAUCUCUUUUUUGUUUUUCGCUCUUCAUUCCUUACUUUUUCUCUCAUUCUACUCCAAAUCAUUUUAAACAACUCCAUUGCCUUGUUUUCUAAAUCUUUAAAUCUCUUUUUUGUUUUUGCUUCUCAUUCCUUACAUUUUCUUUCUUACUCUAAAUCUCUUUAAACAACUUUGUUGUCUUAUCCUCUAAACCCUUUAAUCUCUUUUUUGUUUCUUGCUCCUCAUUCCUUACAUUUUCUCUCCUACUCUAAAUCUCUUUGAACAACUCCGUUGCCUUAUC
rnacentral:lncRNA from 1 species